rnacentral:rRNA from 1 species
AUUGAACGCUGGCGGCAGGCCUAACACAUGCAAGUCGAACGGAUGAAGGGAGCUUGCUCCUGGAUUCAGCGGCGGACGGGUGAGUAAUGCCUAGGAAUCUGCCUGGUAGUGGGGGAUAACGUCCGGAAACGGGCGCUAAUACCGCAUACGUCCUGAGGGAGAAAGUGGGGGAUCUUCGGACCUCACGCUAUCAGAUGAGCCUAGGUCGGAUUAGCUAGUUGGUGGGGUAAAGGCCUACCAAGGCGACGAUCCGUAACUGGUCUGAGAGGAUGAUCAGUCACACUGGAAGUGAGACACGGUCCAGACUCCUACGGGAGGCAGCAGUGGGGAAUAUUGGACAAUGGGCGAAAGCCUGAUCCAGCCAUGCCGCGUGUGUGAAGGAGGUCUUCGGAUUGUAAAGCACUUUAAGUUGGGAGGAAGGGCAGUAAGUUAAUACCUUGCUGUUUUGACGUUACCAACAGAAUAAGCACCGGCUAACUUCGUG